UACGGAGGAUCCGAGCGUUAUCCGGAUUUAUUGGGUUUAAAGGGUGCGUAGGUGGAUUGAUAAGUCAGUGGUGAAAGUUUGCAGCUUAACUGCAAAAUUGCCGUUGAAACUGUUGGUCUUGAGUGCAAAUGAGGUAGGCGGAAUGUGUCGUGUAGCGGUGAAAUGCAUAGAUAUGACACAGAACACCGAUUGCGAAGGCAGCUUACUGGGAUGCAACUGACACUGAUGCACGAAAGCGUGGGUAUCAAACAGGA
rnacentral:rRNA from 1 species